GUUCCCAAGAACCCUCUCUGACUCACGUCUGGUUACCCAGCUGUCUUCCCAGGACCAUAGCCUUUACACUCUUGUGUUUUCAUCUUUAGGGAAGAAUCUAGCCAGGACCUCUACUCACCUGUCGUGAUUAUCUACAUGAAGAUGCUGCUUAGUCAAGCAAGCUUGAGACCUGAGGCAAAGGCCUGGAGCUGGCCCGGGGCCCCAGGGACUAGACUGAACCCCAAAAGAAGCCAGACAUCAAGCUGCACCCUUGACACAAAGCAAAGAGCACGCCCUACAUGUGGAAUAUCUUCUGGAGGCUCCUCAUCAGUCUAUGUCCUUGUAACGUCCACUUACUGGAAAUGUUGCAUGAAUACUAGGCUCCUUCAUCACAGGACCCUAGAUGGCAGAGAGUCCCACUAAUUUGUGCCCAUGGCCAGCAAAUUUGCACCUCCUGCUCCCAAUGUAUCAGCCUGUCCUCGCUUCUUUCCUCCCUUUCUCUGUACUCUUGCCCCCUUCCCAUGUAUCAUCUCCUUCCUUCCUAGUUGUCCAACUGGGUAUAUGUACUCCAAGGCUUCAUCCUGGGCCCUCUUCCAUUUUCUCAUUAUGCUUUCUCACUUGGUGAAUUCAUCUCCCAUGAGUUUAAUUAUCUUCUCUGCGUAGACAGCUCUCAGACUGUCUUCCAAGCUCCAGACCCGCAUCACCAGAUGCCUAUUGGAUACCUCAAAGUGGAUGGCCCAUAGACAAAAAUUCAGCCUGCCUAAAACAGAACUCAGGAUCUUUCCCUCGAAAUCCUCCCCUCUUCCACACUUCCCUGUUACUCUCAAAGGCACCACUGUCCUUCCAGCCCCCCAAACUCACACUGUCAUUGUCAUCCUUUCUUCCUCAUUCUCACUCAUGCCACAAAUCUAAUCAGCUGACGGAUCUCAUUAUAUUUUUCCCCAUUUCCAAUGUCUUCUCUCCACUAACACCGCAGCCUCCCCUGGUGCAAACCCAGGUCUUCCAGACUUCAGGCACAGGGCUCCGUGCACUGUGGCAGAGGUGUCCAACAGAUAAAAACGGGGGCUGCUAAACCCUCUGGAAGAUCCCUGCAGACUACACCUUGAUUUAGAAGAACACAUAUUGAUGUCAUCUCUGUUUUAUUGGAUUUUAUUUGCUGAAUAUUUCCUAAUUAACAUGGUAAUCUGGUUCAGACCACACUCAGGAGUGUUGUCAGCCACAUGUGGCUCGGGGACCACAUGUUUGACACCUCUGUGCUGUGGCACAGGGCCACUCCAGUGGUAGAGUGGACAGAGUCCUGGGCCUGGAGUCAGAAAGAUCUGAGUUCAAAUCCCGCCUAGCUGUGUGACCCUGGACGAGUCACUUCACCUCUGUUUGCCUCAAUUUCCUCAUCUAUAAAAUGAGGAUCAUAACAGUAACAUCCCCCCAGAGCUGUGAGGAUCAAAUAAGAUAUUUGUAAAGUUCCUGGCACAGUGCCUGGCUCACAGGUGAUACUUAAUAAAUGCUUGUUCCUUUUUCCCUCUUGUUUCCCC
rnacentral:lncRNA from 1 species